rnacentral:lncRNA from 1 species
AGCUAUCAGCUUCCCAGUUUGCACAAUUCAUCAAGAAAUUAUGCGGGGCCACUGGCACAAAUGGUGAGGCAUCUCCCGGAAGCUUAACUUCCUAUCCAUCCCAUCUCUUCGACAGAUGAUGCCAGUUAAUUACUUUGAAUGCUCCUCCACCAAGCCAACGCCAGACUCCCGCAAUCAUAGGAUGGCAACACCACCUCUAAAGCACAGAACUUCAGGCUUUGCUUCGGAAGUGGCACCACGGUCUCUUCAUUUUCCCUUUCUUCAAGGUCAGAAAACUGAAGCUGUUAGGAGUUUUAGUGUUAAGUUCCUUCCGAGGAUGUUAAUUAGGCUUCAAACUGUUUUGUUCUCAGAAAUAAAAACUAAACUCCAGUCAUUCAAGUUAACAGUUGAGGUGUUCUAUGGCUUCAAAAUCAAGUAAGAUUUGCAAAUGAAUUGCUAGAUACAACCAUUUUUUAUUACAUGCCACACAAACAGUGGAGAAAAUUAUGGACACCACCAUCC